CAACCCCUGUGACAUACCUUAUGUUGCCUCGGCGGAUCAGCCCGCGCCCCGUAAAAAGGGACGGCCCGCCGCAGGAACCCUAAACUCUGUUUUUAGUGGAACUUCUGAGUAUAAAAAACAAAUAAAUCAAAACUUUCAACAACGGAUCUCUUGGUUCUGGCAUCGAUGAAGAACGCAGCAAAAUGCGAUAAGUAAUGUGAAUUGCAGAAUUCAGUGAAUCAUCGAAUCUUUGAACGCACAUUGCGCCCGCCAGUAUUCUGGCGGGCAUGCCUGUUCGAGCGUCAUUUCAACCCUCAAGCCCAGCUUGGUGUUGGGAGCUGCAGUCCUGCUGCACUCCCCAAAUACAUUGGCGGUCACGUCGAGCUUCCAUAGCGUAGUAAUUUACACAUCGUUACUGGUAAUCGUCGCGGCCACGCCGUUAAACCCCAACUUCUGAAUGUUGACCUCGGAUCAGGUAGGAAUACCCGCUGAACUUAAGCAUAUCAUAACCGGGAGGAAAGACACUGUAAAAAGUGGCCAAGGUAAAUGCAGAUGAACCGCUUCUAAUAGUCCAUUGACUUGGACAAUACUUUUAUGAUCUGAUCUCAAAUCAGGUAGGACUACCCGCUGAACUUAAGCAUAUCAAUAGGC
rnacentral:rRNA from 1 species